rnacentral:rRNA from 1 species
UACAGAGGUCCCGAGCGUUGUUCGGAAUCAUUGGGCGUAAAGCGCGUGUAGGCGGCUCGCUAAGUCUGCUGUUAAAGUCCAGGGCUCAACCCUGGGAUGCCGGUGGAUACUGUCGAGCUCGAGUCCGGAAGAGGAGUGUGGAAUUCCUGGUGUAGCGGUGAAAUGCGCAGAUAUCAGGAGGAACACCAAUGGCGAAGGCAGCACUCUGGGACGUGACUGACGCUGAGACGCGAAAGCGUGGGGAGCAAACAGG